CGCCCUCUCUCUCUAACUCUUCCGAAACUUCAGCCCCCGAAGUUUAGCCGGAUCAGCAGAAAGAAAAAGAGCUUUCAGCGGGGAGCUGGAAGUGAUGGGAGGAGGGACCCAGGUUCGGGUCAGAGCCUCCACAGAUUGAGCACUGAGAUAUUGCAAGCUUGAGAUAGAGUCUGAGAAGAAACUGCAGCUUAAGAGGGAAAGAAAUAUAAGUCAUCUAAAUUGUAAUAUCUGCAGAGAAGAAGGAAUUUAUGGUUCUCUUGAAUCUGCCAAUUUUCUGAACCUGGAGAAGCAGUCCAGAUGAUGUGUCCAACCAACAGAGCAGAGGUGGGACACAAGGCAUCAGUAGCCUGUUAGGGGCUACAUGUUGAAAAACAGUCCUGGAAGAUCCACAACAGAAACUGAAAUCCUCCUUAUUUUCUGUGUGACGAGCCAGAGAACUGUAUGUGGAACCACAGUAUGCUCAGUUCUGAGGACUAUAAUAUGUUCUGGAAAGGGAAUAAAAGGGUCACACUUGCCUCCCUCUUUUAGAGUUGAUAACACAGAACUUAGCAACUUACAAGAGCAGAAAGAUGAACACUCAGCUAAAGCUAUGAGAUGAAAAAGUGAUCAUUAAAUAUGCUCCACUGGAAUACUGCAGCUUUUGACAAAAGGAAAAGAUUUUAAUCUCUACAGAAGAUCAAGCUUUCUUGGGACUGUGGAGUUCUGUGCAA